rnacentral:rRNA from 1 species
UAGGGAAUCUUCCACAAUGGACGCAAGUCUGAUGGAGCAACGCCGCGUGAGUGAAGAAGGUUUUCGGAUCGUAAAGCUCUGUUGGUGGUGAAGAAGGAUAGAGGCAGUAACUGGUCUUUAUUUGACGGUAAUCAACCAGAAAGUCACGGCUAACUACGUGCCAGCAGCCGCGGUAAUACGUAGGUGGCAAGCGUUGUCCGGAUUUAUUGGGCGUAAAGCGAGCGCAGGCGGAAUGAUAAGUCUGAUGUGAAAGCCCACGGCUCAACCGUGGAACUGCAUCGGAAACUGUCAUUCUUGAGUGCAGAAGAGGAGAGUGGAAUUCCAUGUGUAGCGGUGAAUGCGUAGAUAUAUGGAAGAACACCAGUGGCGAAGGCGGCUCUCUGGUCUGCAACUGACGCUGAGGCUCGAAAGCAUGGGUAGCGAACAGG